AUUCUUCAAGCUUCUAGCAACUUUUUCUUCUUCCUCACCCAUCCAAUGCCAUUUUCAUUCCACCUCCAUGAAAAUCAAAAUUUUCAUGGGAUUUUUCCUUGUUUUCUUCAUUUCUUUUCUUUUCCUAAUCCUUCCUUCUCCUAACUUCUUGGGCACUGAAUUUGCAGCUUCUAACCCCAAUUUUUAGCACAUCUAAACCCUAGGAGAGAGAAAGAAAAAUCUCUCAUUGUUUUUUAUACUUUCUAUUUCUACUUCCCUUUCAACAACACUUGGAUUUUUGACUUCAAAUCUUUAUUUUCAAGGUUGAAAGGUAUAUAUAUUUCCAACUUUUGAAAUUUUUGAAUUUAUGGAUAUAUUUUCAGAUUUAUUCCUUAAUUUCUUCAAAUUAUUUUUCUUGGAAAGAUUAGGUUUUUUGUUGAUCUUCAUGCCUCUAAGCUCAUCUAGGUAAUGAAAUUUUACAUUGGAGUAGUUGGCCAAAUGGGUAUGUGAAUUAGACUAGAAACUUAGGUUAAAUGUUAGGUUAGAGGGUAGAUUGCCUAAUGUAAAUUCAUUAGAAUUAUUAGAUUUAAUUUAUGACUUAAUUGAGGUUGUUGUGGUUUAUUGAUAAAUAUAGGUUUUAAUGGUAUUUCGGGACUACUUGGAUUAGGACCUUGUUGGUGCUAGUUUUGUCAGGUGAGUGAACUUUCAUUUCAAAAUGUUUUGGAAAAAUGUUUACGUGUUUCAAUGAAUCAUUUGAAAUUUUAUCGGUUUUUGCUUUAAAAUUGCCUGGGAAGAAGCCCUUGAGAAAAUGUUUGAUGUUGUGAAAUGUGAAAUGUGAAAUGUGUAAAAAGAUGAAUCCAUAUGUUUUUGUAUAAUGUUGAUAUAUAUAUACACACACACACACACACACACACAUAUAUGUACAUAUAUAUACACAUAUAUGUAUAUACUAUGUCAUAAAUGGUACCAUUGUGUGACAAAUGCAACUGUGCAUGUGCGGGGUGAGUGUGCACUUACCGGUGAUGAUGGUGGUGAGGGAGAUGGACGGUGAUACUGUCUGACUAUGUGUACGAUAUGGUGGGAUGCACAUAAGCUGGGUGAGAUGCACAUGAUGAAUCUUGAAAAUUUUUCAUUUAUUUGCAAAUUAAUUUUAUUGCAACGAGAAACAUUCUGUUUAUAUUGCCUUACUUGGAUAAUUGCUGAAAAUUUCCCUUCUUUCCAAUUUCAUGCUGAAUACGGUUCCUUCAUCAUUAAAUGAUUUUACAAUCAAGGGUUUAAUGGAGGGAUUUUAAUAAGAACUUGAACUAAAUGGCAUUGUUUUUAAAUAAGUCCAUCAUGUUUUCUAAACCAUUCCUUGUCAUUGCUUGUUCCCUUCCUAUGUUCACUCAUCAAGUUUGUACUCACGUUUUCAAAAUUCAUGUUUUAGGUUUCCUGAGUCAAAGGUGGUUGGAUCCUAGGAUGAGUUGUUCCUCCCUAUCCAUUACUCGGUAGGUUUACCAUGACAUUAAAUGUUAGCAACCGUGUCUAGAGUCACUCCGUUGACGGUCAAGUUCUAAUUACGUGUAUAUGAAUACUUGUUGUGAAAUGCUGAGAUUCAUUUGUCAAACUAUAUAUAUGUAUUAUGGUUGAUGAUGCC
rnacentral:lncRNA from 1 species